AUCUGUCUCGUUACAUUCAACAGUGAAGGACGGCAAAAGCAGAAUGAGAAGAAGAAGAAGAGGAAGAAGAUGACGAAUCGAUAUAGGGGAAGGAGAAGAGAAUAGAAACAUAUAGGCUUCAGCAUUGUUUAUUUCUUGAGUACUCUUCUUUUCUUCCGUGUUCAGUAAAAUAAUGGCUUUUCCGGACAAGCUAUCAACAGUUUCUGGUAGCAAAUUUCUUCGGCAAAUAAAUAGCCACUGCUACUCACAACGAUCUUUCUUAAUUCACACAGGUGACAAUUAGGGCCGUGAUAUCAUUUUUUUCCCUUUCCUUUGAUGAACAACGGACAUGACAUCAUUGAUCAUUUUUGACUGACCGCAUUAUUACUUUUAUAUGACAAAAAGUACGCCAAACAAUAUAACAAAUGCCCGGGUACUGAAAUCUCUCUCUCUCUCUCUCUCUCUCUCUCUCUCUCUCUCUCUCUCUCUCUUUUAAAUUUUUUAUUUUAUUAUGUCCUUUGACAAAGAAUUUAUAAUUUAUAUAAUAUGUAUAAUUUUUUAUUUUUCUAAAUAAGAUAAAACUUUAGUUUUCUUUUUUCCUUUUUUGUUCUUCUUGUAGCUUAAUUGUUUGAAAAUUCAUUUUAAUUAGCAUUUAUUUUUUAAAAUAAUUAUUUUUAAUAAUACUUACUUCAUAAAAUAAAUGGUAAAAUGUCUGACUACAUAUAAUGAAAACACUUCUAAAUUUAUUUUUGAUAUUUUGAUAUUUUAAUUAAUUUAUUUAAUAUCUAUCUUUUAAAUUCUGAAGUAUUUAUUUGAAGAAGCACUAGUUAGAAACAUAUUUAAAGCUUUUUUUUUUUAAAUCAAAAAACCAUUUUUUAAUUUUUUACCAAACAUAAUCAUCUUUUUUUUUUCUUUUUUUUUUUUCCUUAAAAGCAUUUGUUGGAGCUCUAAAACCACAUCCAUACGUACCCUAAAAAUCAACUAUUUCCUUAAAAGCAUUUGUUGGAGUUAUACCUACUUUUUGUUCUUAGAAAACCAAAAGAAAAAUGAGGAGAUAUUUCUUGGUUUAUUUUUGAAUUUAUGUAGGUAAAAUUUUAGCUAAAGAUUUAUUACGUGCUUUAGCCAACACUGUAUCCCAAGGAUAAUAUUGAUUAUGGCAAAAAGAUUUUGUCAUCAUAUGUUCAUCCAUCCAUUUGUAUAACUGAAAAUUUCAACCGAAGUUGAUACAGUAGCUUCUUGUAGGGCCAUUUCUGUUUACACAUUGUAGAUGCCAUUCAUAGCCUUAAUUUAUUGAAUAACCACUCACUAUAUGUGCAUAUAUGCUAACUGUUUGAAAAAACGUUAGCGAGUUUCUUUUUACUAAAUAUUGUUCCUGUUAUUUAUUAAGAAACUAAUGCCUUACACAAAGGCUUAUUUUAUAACAUUUAUCAAUUUCUUUUUUAAAAAAACAUUUAUCAAAUAAAAUAUACAUGAAUGAUAACUAAUUACUACAAUAUUCAUUUAUAAUAUAAAGAAAAAAAAUGCUUAUCAAAAAUAAAUAUUACUAUAUAAACAAUUUGAAAUGUUAAUUACAUGAUAAACUACCAGCUUGCUAGCUGUUGUCUUUCGCAAUAUUGACGUUUAGUUGAAUUUCUAUCUGUAAGUAGGAAAAAAAAAAAAAAAAAGGGCCAGUUAAAAUCAUAUCAAAAUGAAUGCAAUGUUUAGAGCAAAUAUAGGUGUUAUUCCAAAUGGUACCGUAACUCUAUGACAUUAUUCCCUUUUCAGGUCUCGAUAUUUAAAAUGAUCAAAACAAAAAAAAAAAAAAAAAGAAAAAAAAAUCCAAAACAAAAGAAAAAAGCUCUUGAUAUUUGAAAUUAAAGAGUGAUAACUCUUCAAUUUCCACAUGGAGGCAGCAACAUUAAGCCCCCUAGUUUUGGUCCCUUGUAAAAUAAUUUUACACCUUUAUAUUCAUGGUACCCAACAACCCUUUGGUCGGACCUUUAACUUUUGAUUCAGUAUAGCCCACGCGUGGGAAGGUGUAAUGGUUUUCGGUUCCAACCUAUGUAGCUAUGGAACUCUGAAGUCGGCGUGCUUCUUUUCUCAUGAUAUGACCAUUCGAAUUAAUAUAUAUUUAUUUGAUUGAAAAAAAAGAAAAGAAUUAAUAUAUAUUUAUAUUAUAUAAUUAUGAUAUGGGUAAUGAUACUUUUUUUUUUGUUUUUUUUUGGGUGUGUAAAAACAAUAUAGCUAAUCUUAUAGCGGUUAUAGGUACAACUGGCAAAUUAUGGGUAGGCUGGAGAAAUCGUAAGCAAAUUUUUUGCCUUGUUUCUUUUGUUGCAUUUAGUAUUGUGUCAUAUCAGGGUUUCCCAAGUUAGUACUUCUCGUAGUAGCUUUUUCAUUAACUCUUAAAUUUUAUGAAAUAUUGAAAUUUAAAAAUAUAUUAGGUUUGUAUGAGUUCGUAUAGAUUUUAUUUUAAAUUGUAGCUUUUCAUUAAAUUUAUAUAAAAUGUUAAUAUAUUUAUAAAUUUAAAUCUUUAAAGAAUUUAAAAUGUUUAAAAAAAAUUUAAAAUGUUUAAAAAGAAAGUUGUGAUAGUUUUAUCGUUAAAAUAUCUUUAAAAGAUAAUAAUUAUAUAUAUAGGAUAUGUAAAAUCUCGUUUUCAUCGGCGGAUCUAUCACUCUCUGUCAAUGUUGUUUUCAAUUUAGCCAUUGCAUCCGGUAUGUUACUCUCUACCGAUAUUGUCUCCAAUUUAGCAAUAUUGAUAUUGUUUCCAAUUUAACCACCACUCUUGGUAUGCAAUUUUUUUUUUCAGAGCUUUCAAAGAUGACACAUAUCUUAGGAUUGCUGUAGCUUGAACAUGUUUAACUUUAAAAUUCUUUCGAAUCAUGAAGUCAACUACUCUGAAAAUGCUUUAGCAUUAUGUAAGUGAUUAUUAUUAUAUUUAAAUCAUCUUCUGAUCUAUACCCAGAUGAUGUAUGAUUGGACACCAAAUAAUCUCCCAAUACCAUGCACCUGCCCACAUUAAUCAUCACAAUCUACUCUUUAGGGUUCAUUAUCUUUGCUAACACACUUUCGAUCAAGUACAGACUUUAAUAAUGUUUGUAACACCUUACCUCCAUUAGCAAACCUAUCAUUCUCUAUCGAUAUUGUCCUUAAUUUAGCCAUUACAUUUUGUAUGAGAUUUUUUAUUCAAAACUUCCUAAGAGAUCACCAAUCAUAGGAUUGUUCUCACCUGAGCACUCUUAACAUUAUAAUUCUUUUGAAUUCUAAAGUCAACUGCUUUAAAAAGACCUCGGUAUUAUGAUAGUGACUAUUAUUAUAUUUGAACAAUCUCCUGAACCAUACUUGGACGAUAUGGAAUUGAAUAUCAGAUAGUUUGCUAGUACCUCACACCCUUUCACACUGGUCAUCAUAGGAUAUCCUUAGAAGAGAAUAACUAUUGGUAUUAUUUAUCAAAUCUGUACCAUCUAAUUCAAUUAAACAUAUCUAAAAGAAUCCAAUAAUUGCCACAAAAAAAAAGAAAAAAAAAAAGACCUUACUAUUGGUAUUACCACAUAACUUAAAAAUAGACUGAUUAUGUAUUAUAUAUACACAAAAUUUCUAUAGCAGAGGAUUCCCUAAUUUUUUUUAAAAAAAUUUUUGAUAAUAAUUCCCUAACUUUAUUAAGUGAGAAUGUUUAUGUAGCAAAUGCUAAGAGUUGCAAAAUUUAAUUUAUAAUUUUACAUGUUUAUUAUAAUUCAAAUAAUAGUUGUCAAUUUAUUUAAUACUUAAAUAUAUAAGCUUUUUUUAAUUUUACUAAAUAGGAUUUGGAUUUCCUAAUAAGUGAUUCAUAAUAUAUAAAACCCAACUAGAAAUUAAUAGCAAAUUCAAAAUAAGCACUCAGAGUAUCUCCAAUAAUUUUAUUUGUUGGAGCUUAUGUUGCAAUGGAUUUGGAAAGUGUUGAUACUUGGGUGGCAUAGUGUCUAUUAAUAAAUAAUGCAUAUUUAAAUUUUUUCUCCAAUAGAUCCUACUUAGAAUUUCAAAUGAAAUGGGCUGGCACUUUGAGAGAAGAGAUGAAAGGAGAAAGGAGAGAGAAAAGGUUGUGAAUUGAUGGGGAGAGGGGAGAAAGAAGAAACUAAAUUUAUGACACACAUUAUCCACUAGAUAUUCCAUAAGUAAGGAUCUGUUAAACAAGUUUUAUUAUUUUUAAUGCCACCUUAACUUGACAGAAGUUUUGCAUAACAUUAUUGAAAAUGAUUUUUAUUAAAGGACUAUUUGUUUGUCUCAUGUGACACAACCUUUUUUAACUGGAAAGCACGAUUGAAAAAUGCUCUCAUAUCUACGUUUAAGAAGUCGUAGAUUUGAUACAAUAGGAUGGAAGGUUAUUGUAAAUCAUAAUAUAUAUAUAUAUAGACUAGUCAAUUUGAGGACCAUUUUUUUUUUUGUCUUAUUUUUAUCAUGAUUAUUUGUAACCUAUUUUAAUAACUUAAUUUGAAAUAAAAUUUUUAAAAAUCAAAUCUAACAAAGUAAUAACCAAAAAAUAAGGGAAAAAAAAAACCUAAAUCUUUAACAUUAGGGCAUCUCCAAUGGUAAAUGCCAUUUUGAUAUAGCCAUUUUAAAAUUUGAUAUUAGAAUGAACUCUCUAACUAUAAAUGUAAUGCCCCGUACCAAUAAUACAUAUAUUUUAACAAGUUUGACCAAGUUGACUAAGUUUGAGUAAGUAAAUAAUAUGUAGGUCCAAGUUGACUUUUUCAGUGGUCAAUAUUUUUGUUUGACUGAGGUACCAUUGUGUAGAUCUCAUCGAUAUAAGUUCAAAGACUAGUGGCACGCCAAAUUCCAAGCUACGGAUAAAAAGUUAUGAUUCUGAGAAAUUUUAAGUAUAAGUUUUAUAUCAGUGUCCAAAUCAGUCCCAAGUUUUUAUUUGUUAGUAACCCAAGGCUCUAUAUAAGCCUUAGUAAGCAUGCCAAAUAGGAAACUAAUUUCCAAAAUACCCAUUUCAUCCCCAAAACUCAAGAAAUUCCUCCUCCAAACCCAUGGGUCGGAAUUGCAUUGUUUCGACCCAUUUAACGGCGAGCCGGGUCACUGCUAUUUUUGCCCAUUCCGGCCACCAAGCUGUUACAUGCGCCAGCCAAGGAGGAAGAUCAUGUUGAGGUGAGCUUGACCGUGAAAUUUCACAGCAAACGGCGACCGAAUGCGCCGGGAUCUGGCCAGUGAAGGAGGCGGCAACCAACGAGAUUUCUCAUCGUUUGAGAUAUCCGACAAUGGAAAGUUCGGUCGAAGAUUCAAUCGAGUUUUCUGACCACCGGAGGAACUUUUGGACUGAGGCACUCGAGUUGAGCCUGGAGGCGCUCCUGCAGGGGGGCAAGAGUGAGCAUCUGCAGUACUGUGAUUGGUUAUUAUUUUAAAAUGUUUUGGGUAUAUAGAAUAACAUAUAUGUAUGGUUUGAUAUUUUACGUAUAUACAAAUUGAUUGAA